AGUGAACGCUGGCGGCGUGCCUAAUACAUGCAAGUCGAACGGAGAUUAAGUAGCUUGCUAUUUAUUCUUAGUGGCGCACGGGUGAGUAAUAUAUAGCUAACUUGCCCUUUACUAAGGGACAACAGUUGGAAACGACUGCUAAUACCUUAUACUCCGUAUCUAUAUAAGUAGAUACGGGAAAGUUUUUCGGUAAUGGAUAGGGCUAUAUCGUAUCAGCUAGUUGGUAAGGUCAUGGCUUACCAAGGCUAUGACGCGUAACUGGUCUGAGAGGAUGAUCAGUCACACUGGAACGGAGACACGGUCCAGACACCUACGGGAGGCAGCAGUAGGGAAUAUUGCUCAAUGGGGGAAACCCAGAAGCAGCAACGCCGCGUGGAGGAUGACACUUUGCGGAGCGUAAACUCCUUUUCUUGGGAAAGAAUUAUGACGGUACCCAAGGAAUAAGCACCGGCUAACUCCGUG
rnacentral:rRNA from 1 species